UACGUAGGGUGCAAGCGUUGUCCGGAAUUAUUGGGCGUAAAGAGCUCGUAGGCGGUUUGUCGCGUCUGCUGUGAAAACCCGAGGCUCAACCUCGGGCCUGCAGUGGGUACGGGCAGACUAGAGUGCGGUAGGGGAGAUUGGAAUUCCUGGUGUAGCGGUGAAAUGCGCAGAUAUCAGGAAGAACACCCGUGGCGAAGGCGGUUCUCUGGGACGGUACUGACGCUGAGACGCGAAAGCGUGGGGAGCGAACAGG
rnacentral:rRNA from 1 species